rnacentral:rRNA from 1 species
AGGACUAACGCUGGCGGCGUGCCUAACACAUGCAAGUCGAACGGGGUAGCAAUACCCAGUGGCAGACGGGUGAGUAACACGUGGUCAACCUACCUCUGUGUGGGGGAUAACUAGCCGAAAGGUUAGCUAAUACCGCAUACGAUCGUUUUGAGGCAUCUCGAGACGAUGAAAGGAGCAAUCCGCACGGAGAGGGGACUGCGUCCCAUUAGUUAGUUGGUGGGGUAACGGCCUACCAAGACUCCGAUGGGUAGCUGGCUUGAGAGAGCGACCAGCCACACUGGAACUGAGAAACGGUCCAGACUCCUACGGGAGGCAGCAGUGGGGAAUAUUGGACAAUGGGCGCAAGCCUGAUCCAGCAAUGCCGCGUGGGUGAAGAAGGUCUUCGGAUUGUAAAGCCCUUUCGGCGGGACGAUGAUGACGGUACCGCAGAAGAACGCCCGGCUAACUUCGUGCCAGCAGCCGC